rnacentral:rRNA from 1 species
UACGUAGGGUGCAAGCGUUGUCCGGAAUUAUUGGGCGUAAAGAGCUCGUAGGCGGUUUGUUGCGUCGGCUGUGAAAUCCCGAGGCUCAACUGCGGGUCUGCAGUCGAUACGGGCAGGCUAGAGUUCGGUAGGGGAGACUGGAAUUCCUGGUGUAGCGGUGAAAUGCGCAGAUAUCAGGAGGAACACCGGUGGCGAAGGCGGGUCUCUGGGCCGAUACUGACGUGAGGAGCGAAAGCGUGGGGAGCGAACAGG